GUAGUGGGGGAUAACGUUUCGAAAGGAACGCUAAUACCGCAUACGUCCUACGGGAGAAAGUGGGGGAUCUUCGGACCUCACGCUAUCAGAUGAGCCUAGGUCGGAUUAGCUAGUUGGUGGGGUAAUGGCCCACCAAGGCGACGAUCCGUAACUGGUCUGAGAGGAUGAUCAGUCACACUGGAACUGAGACACGGUCCAGACUCCUACGGGAGGCAGCAGUGGGGAAUAUUGGACAAUGGGCGAAAGCCUGAUCCAGCCAUGCCGCGUGUGUGAAGAAGGUCUUCGGAUUGUAAAGCACUUUAAGUUGGGAGGAAGGGCAGUAAGUUAAUACCUUGCUGUUUUGACGUUACCAACAGAAUAAGCACCGGCUAACUUCGUGCCAGCAGCCGCGGUAAUACGAAGGGUGCAAGCGUUAAUCGGAAUUACUGGGCGUAAAGCGCGCGUAGGUGGUUCAGCAAGUUGGAUGUGAAAGCCCCGGGCUCAACCUGGGAAUUGCAUCCAAAACUACUGAGCUAGAGUACGGUAGAGGGUGGUGGAAUUUCCUGAGUAGCGGUGAAAUGCGUAGAUAUAGGAAGGAACACCAGGGGCGAAGGAGACCACCUGGACUGAUACUGACACGGAGGUGCGAAAGCGGGGGGAGCAAACAGGAUUAGAUACCCUGGGUAGUCCACGCCGUAAACGGAUGUGGACUGGCCGUAGGGAUCGUUGAGAUGUUAGUGGCGCAGGUAUCGCGAUAAGUUGAACGCCGGGGGAGUAGGGGCGCAAGAUUUAAACUAAAAGGAACUGACGGGGGCCCUGCACAAGCGAUGGGGUGGUGUGGUUUAAUUGGCAGCGACAUGAACAACCC
rnacentral:rRNA from 1 species